UCUCAAUAUAAAGGUAAAUGUUAAAAUUCUUACACUAUCGUAGGGUACAGCUGAUUUCUUUAAGAAAAUUCGUCCAGUCUUUGUGGUGUACUUGUCAUCUUCUUUGAAAUGUUUGGAACAUAUGCGGGAAUAGUCCGAAGACAACCAAAAUUCUUCGCUUCGUUCCUUUUGAACAAAUUUAAUCCAUAAUUCUCUUUUUUCAUGGCCCGGCCGCGGAAACCUUUAGAAAAGUUCAAAUAAAAUUUAACUACAGAUAUCAUCAUCCCGCACCACAACAAAAUACUACCCAUUUUUAAAGUGUCACGUUGAUAGUGUCACAUCUUUACGUACAUAAAAUGUUGUUAGUCUAUGAAUUUCGCCGAAGUAUGGCUGCCGACUCCGAGCGCGCGGGAGUUCGUUGCAAAAUAAAAGAAAAUAUUGUAACUCGUGCGUAUGAUUGACUGAUAAAUAGGUAACUUACCCGUGAAAAGUCACUCCGUGUGUUUUCUUUACUUUUUCUGAGUUAUUGGUGCAGUAUCUCAGCACACACGAAGGCAUUUUGAGAAUUAACUGAAACUUCUCGACGCGGCACGUCGCGGCAAGCGCCCGGCUCAGACUAACCAAGGUUGAGCCGGCCGGCUCUAACUCGUGUUACAAACAGUGAACUCGCGUUGCCGGCUCUAUGUACGCAGUACAAUAUAACUCGAUGGUAUGUUAGUGUUCGCACACAGAGUGCAGCCUACGAAGAAGAUGAUCCUCCAUAACUUGCGCAGCUCUUUCAAUAGUGUUAUGAUCCGAAGCCAAAUUACGAGACCUAGUUGGGCUAGGUGGGUAACUCUGGUUCAAGCGUGACGAAUGUCCGUGACUUUUGUGAUUGCAGGAAGGAGUGGACUUAGAACUGGCACAAAUCCCACGAGAAGCUAGGGAAAAAUGUGGCCCAGAACCGUUCUGUGGAAUCACAAAACGGGAUGCAUAUUCACUGCUCAGCAAUUUAGAAAAAAUAAGGGCAAACGAUUGGUGGAAGUUCGUAAAAGGACAAGAACACUCGAAAGCUCUAAUCAAAGGGUUCAACAGCAAAACUGCUAGGGAGCUUCUAGGGCUCAAAAGACACAAAGCCUGCGCGGUGACCAGAAUUUUGACUGGACACUGUAAAUUGAACAAACACAUGUUUCAAAUCGGAAAGAAACAAGACGCGACAUGCAGGUUCUGCCAUGAGUCAGAGGAGACUGCAAUGCACAUUCUCUGCUCCUGUGGACCACUAAUGUCAAAAAGUAGUACCCACCUAGGGCGGCACGUAUUGCAACCCUAUGAGGUACAGAACAUUACGGCCCAAAGAAUCUGGAAUUUCCUGGAUUCAACGGGCAUCAGUAAUGAACUUUAAAGGGCUGUCACAAUAGACCAAUGCCUGGUCGACGUGGCAUUCAAAGGCCCACAAACUACAAUAAUAACAAUAGAACUGGCACCCAUUUUCGUCGCUAACAGAAAAGUGAGAACACAUAUGGCGUCCAAGAUUUAUAUUUGCCUGUCAAUCAGCUUCAAUUGCCAAUAAAGCCAUCGGGACAAUCAAUAGAUAAACGCAGAUCGCAGCUGUGCGAAUGUCAUUGCAACGUGACUUGUCAACAAAGUCAGUGUGUACCAGCAAAGUCAAAUUUAAAGCAGUGGUAAAAUAAAGUUCGUUGUGUUAGAUCGGAAGAUACUGUACUAAGUGCCACGAAGUAAAAAAAAUGAGUAGUUGACUACAUCCUACGUGCAUUCUUAGUUAAUCUCAUUUGUGAUAAGAGUGCUCCGGUAUUAUAAAUAGCAGCUGUUAUCGAACUGCACAUAUAUUUAGUCAAACAGUAAUACAACGCUACUGCAACAAUGUCUUUAGUAAUUCACAGACAGUUGUGCAUAGUACCACGUCAGUGGCUCGGAUUCACUGCAGACAGCUUAGAAGUUGUGCUGUGCAAGGCAAUCUCAGCUCACUUCCGAAAUGGCGACGAGUUGAUGGGCUGUUCAAUUCGCGUUGAAGGGGUGGCAGCCUUACUUCGGUUCUACAACGAACACCCUUGGAUGCGGCGAAUUCAAGAUGACAGUGAAGCUCCAGAAUUGAGCGACUACCUUUCGGUCUUCAUACCGUGUGCUCAUUGCACCGAGCUAGACUGACUAACAGCGAGAAUGUGUUUUAGAUUUCAGUUGCAGUGAAUCUCAUUGAUCGACUAUGACUCGAAAUAAAUUGUGACGUCAUCUAUUGAUGAUCGUGAUUUUUCUCACUUGAUGGUCUCAUCGGAAGAUCAGCGCUGGCCACCAGCAACAUGCUGAGAUGAGGCCAUUUCGUGGCACUUUAUACUUCCUUUGUUUUUGUUAUAUCAUGUAAUUUAAUGUGUCUUGUUUGUGUCUACGAAUAAAAAAUAUUCUAUUCUA